rnacentral:rRNA from 1 species
AGUGAACGCUGGCGGUAGGCCUAACACAUGCAAGUCGAACGGCAGCACAGUAAGAGCUUGCUCUUACGGGUGGCGAGUGGCGGACGGGUGAGGAAUACAUCGGAAUCUACUUUUUCGUGGGUGAUAACGUAGGGAAACUUACGCUAAUACCGCAUACGGCCUACGGGUGAAAGCAGGGGAUCUUCGGACCUUGCGCGAUUGAAUGAGCCGAUGUCGGAUUAGCUAGUUGGCGGGGUAAAGGCCCACCAAGGCGACGAUCCGUAGCUGGUCUGAGAGGAUGAUCAGCCACACUGGAACUGAGACACGGUCCAGACUCCUACGGGAGGCAGCAGUGGGGAAUAUUGGACAAUGGGCGCAAGCCUGAUCCAGCCAUACCGCGUGGGUGAAGAAGGCCUUCGGGUUGUAAAGCCCUUUUGUUGGGAAAGAAAAGCAGCAGGUUAAUACCCCGCUGUUCUGACGGUACCCAAAGAAUAAGCACCGGCUAACUUCGUG